rnacentral:lncRNA from 1 species
GUAUCUCUUAACAAUUAAAGUCACCCUGUACUUAUCUUUCCAUCUUCAUUCAUCCUCCAAUUAAUGCUUCCAUAAAAUUCUCAAUAUUUGAAACUUGGUUGGAUUUUCCUCUUCCUGAUGUUGAUGAGGAUGAUGAAGAUUUUGAACUAUCUGAUGCACAACAAGAGUAUGCUCUGACUGUCGAAAGUUUGGCACCAAGAUUGGCUGCUCUUAGGAUUGAACUUUGCCCGGGUUAUAUCAGUGAAAGUUCUUUCUGGAAGAUAUAUUUUGUACUUUUGCAUCCGAGACUUGAACCUCAUGCUGCUGCACUUCUUUCGAGACCCGAGGUAAUAGAUCCAGAAUGCGUUGGUUAAAAUUGCCUAAAAUCAAUUAGACAUACUUGUUGUUGUUGCUUGUGCUGCUGCUUGUUGCUGUUGUUGCUCGUUGCUGUCGGAGCCAUACCGGAUAUAUCCAACCCUUACAACUUCUCUUCAGG